rnacentral:rRNA from 1 species
CCUACGGGUGGCAGCAGUGGGGGAUAUUGCACAAUGGGGGAAACCCUGAUGCAGCGACGCCGCGUGUGGGAAGACGGUCCUCUGGAUUGUAAACCACUGUCCCCAGGGACGAAGAUGACGGUACCUGGGGAGGAAGCUCCGGCUAACUACGUGCCAGCAGCCGCGGUAAUACGUAGUGAACGAGCGUUGUCCGGAAUUACUGGGUGGAAAGGGAGCGUAGGCGGGACUGGAAGUUGGGUGUCAAAUCUACCGGCUCAACCGGUAGCCGCAAGCAAAACUGGAGUUCUUGAGUGAAGUAGAGGCAGGCGGAAUUCCUAGUGGAGCGGUGAAAUGCGUAGAUAUUAGGAGGAACACCAGUGGCGAAGGCGGCCUGCUGGGCUUUUACUGACGCUGAGGCUCGAAAGUGUGGGGAGCAAACAGGAUUAGAUACCCGAGUAGUC